UCCACAAAGUUACGGAAGAAUUGUUGUCUCCGUAUUGAAAGCAGUAAUCGUCGGUGUAACCUUUCAUAUGAAUCCCUAAUGUCGCGAAUCUAUGAAAAUCGGCCGUGGUGUCUUGUUACGCAAGCAGUCCUCCGGGCCGGCCGCACGGUACAGAGCCAGAAUCCCCAGCGUGCCUCGCAGCGACCGGUUAGCGCUGCUGGGAGUUGUAGUCCGGUGGCCUUUGAAGGCGAGUCCGAACUUAGAAAACUAACUCCCAGAAUGCACCGCAGUUCUAAAGCUGAAUCUUGCGCACGAUGGAGUGGUCAGGGAGAAGGAGCCCCCUGAGCAGCAGAAAUAAUCCUGAAUGUCUUCCUUCAGUGAUUCUAUCCAAGUGUCCAACCAUGGCUGUUUCCCAUCUCAAAGGCUCAAAAUUGGAUUCCUUUCCACCUGGCAUUGAAGUCCAACAUGGAGGCUGGUGGCAAUGAAGGGGAGCUGAGUAACGGUGACCUAUCCCAUGUGCAUUUGGAAUCUGGAGAUUUAGAAAAGCGUAAACUGCUGGA